rnacentral:lncRNA from 1 species
UGUAUAAUGAAUUUAAUUUUCAGCAUUACAUAAAACCCUCUCCUAUCUUCACUUUUUCUCAACCUUCUCCCUCUCCCUGCCUCCUGAUCUUAUCUUCCUGAACUUCUAAAAGAUUGGCAACACUAACCUGUUUCAGCCUUACCCAUUAUUUCCCUAAUCUGUCUCCGCCCACACCAUUAAAGUAAUCACCUCCCCCUGCCUCCUUCAGCUCAGUGUUAAUCACCUGUCUGUGCCACUGACAUAGCGACCUUCAGCCUACCUGAUCUGGGUAAUAAACUGGGAAGCCCUUCCUACAUUCCCGGCAUGUCUGCCUCUUUCUUCCAUAUUGUGGUGGGUGGAUGCUGGGUAGCUGCUUAGAGACAGCUUUCUAACUUUUAUUUUUUCUAUUCUCUACUGCCUUGGCUUAAUUAUUAUAGGAAUUAGACCUGGAAGGAUUCUUAGCAAUCAUAAAUUCCAACUUCCUACUUUUACAGAUGAGAAAACCAAGGGCAGGAAAAGUUAAAUAAGUUGCCCAAGGUCAUAAACCUUAUAAACUCCAGUGACAAUGUUCUCUCCAUUCUACCUUGCAUGAGAUUCCCCACCUUUCUUUAUCCUUUGUUUUUUUUUUCUUCCUCAACUUCCCUUUACUUUUAUUUAUUACUAUUGGGGAGAUGGUAGAGUCCUCAUUGGACUUAUAUUCAGGGUUCCCAUCCCCACUCUGAGUCUCAUUCCUCCUUCAACUCUCUUUCCGGACCAUGGGCAAACUCCUUCAUCUCUUUAAGAGGUGCAAUGAAUGUUGGAUAAAGUGCUCAACCUGUCAGUUGUCAGGGAAUCUGAUUUUGAAUCAUGCUUCUGAAACUUGAUGCUGGUUCCCUGCCACAUACUAACUGUUGCCUAAGGAAAGAACAUCCUAGUUUUUAUCAGUUGGUUUCUGAUUCUGAAGACAGAGUUGCAGCUACCAGCAGCCUGGGACCUGGGGCUGGGGCUGUAUGAGUGCUCUGGGUCAAGAAGAUCAGGAGGAAGCAGUAUCAGCAAUGCCAGAGUCAGUAGCAAGGAACUAGGAACACAAACGUGGGCUCAAACAGAUGGGCAAGAGUCCUCAAACUUAAAACAGCCAGGCCCAUAGGGAGAGCGACCAGGAAAAAAAAAGUAGGGAUUGAAGAAAAAGGCAGCAGCUCCAAAGAGAGUUCCGAGUUUGUGAGGAUGGAUGAGGUGGGAGAACUGCCUUGGAAAGAGAAACACGACUUAAAAAAAUUUAUCUAGGCUAUCUUAAAAAAUUGAGAGCUUCUUCUCCAAUUAAUGGUUGCCAUUAAUGUAAAAGUUAAAAUUAAAUCUCAAUAAUAAAAC